UACAGAGGGUGCAAGCGUUAAUCGGAAUUACUGGGCGUAAAGCGUCCGUAGACGGUUACAUAAGUCGGGUGUGAAAGCCCCGGGCUCAACCUGGGAAUUGCAUUCGAGACUGCGUAGCUAGGGUGCGGAAGAGGGAAGCGGAAUUUCCGGUGUAGCGGUGAAAUGCGUAGAUAUCGGAAGGAACACCAGUGGCGAAAGCGGCUUCCUGGUCCAGCACCGACGUUCAGGCACGAAAGCGUGGGGAGCAAACAGG
rnacentral:rRNA from 1 species